UCCCACCCACCCUGAUCCAUCCCCUCCCCUCGUCUCUCGCAUUGCCGCCGCCACCCACUCACCGCCCCGUCUCUCCCACAUCCGCCGGCAGCCUCUCCCCUCCCAUCCGCUUCCCACACACCUCAGGCGGACCCCCACCCAUCCAUCUCUCUCUCCCGCAACUUUUCUCUCUCUCCCGGGACACAUCUCUGCCGCCAUAGAUGCCGGCCGAUUCCGGUGUUCUCCGAUGCCGGUACAGAGGAGAGGAUGAGGGGGGCGGCUCGCCGUUCGCCGCUCGCCCGCCCAAUCCCGCCGCGGCCUGGAGAGAUCCACCGUCCCACCGACCGACCCCGCCGGCGUGCCGCGGUUUGGGUGGCCGAAAUCGAGGCCAUCCUCUCCCUCCCUCGCGGGUCCAGUUCACACCGUUUCUUCCCCGGGCGCGGCACCCGGCGGAGGCCCCGAUCUGUAUCCAUCCGUCUCACCCCGCAUAGCACCCGGUGCCGCCCGGUGCGUACCGCCGUCGGUGUUCCCCGCGCCGACGCCGGCAGCACCCCACCCCACUGGAUCGCUCCGCCGGCCACCACCGCCAGCCCCGCCUCCCGCCCACGGCCGCGGUCCCCAUCGUGCGAGGUCAAUCUCGCUCGGUACCUUUCGUUCUCCUUCUGCUCGCCUAGUUUAACUGUCGGACUGCUCUAUCUGCCUGCCUGCCUGCGUUUACUGCUUGUUCUUUACAUCUCUCUGUUUUUGUUAGCUGUGUAGUUCUAGUGUGUAGACAAUGAUAAAUCCUUAACCUGUGCAGUGGUCAUUAGCUUCCGUGGCUCGUGGUCCAAAUGCAGAAGCACCCUCCCUACAAUCUGUGAACAUGCAGGGAAUAAGUGGAACCACCCAUGCUAGUUUCCUCUAAUCCAAAAAGGGGAACAUUAGUUUCCAUACCCGCGUCGCACUAGUUUUCUGUUAAUCGGCAGCCGUUAGCGAUUGGUCACCGUGCUGCUACUCGUGUAUUUGUUAAGCAGCGGUCUCUUACUACUCUUUGUGUAGCUCUGCUGCUCGGUCAUCGCUACCUAGAGUAGAAAACAGGGGUUGGCAUGAUCUAGGGACACACUAUGGUUUUCAGGUGGGGAGAAUGAAAAUCCCAGAGAAGGGAUGAUAUCGCUUAGAUGGACAACCACUGAAUCCUGAUUAAGCAUUUCUCUUGCUGGCAAAAUGCUGAAUUGCAUCAUGUAUAACGGCAGCACAUCCUUAUGUCCUACUCUUCAAGGUGUCAUAUAACAUACUACCUACCUUCCUAAGCUUUAAGUUCUGAUAGGGUGCUGCAAGUUAUAGGAAACUUAAGCUUUAAGAGUGCCUUUUUAUGCUGAUAGAUAGGAUAUGAUUUCUGAAAUGUUUAUGCGGAUAUAUAGGAUAUGAUCUCUGAAAUGUUUAUGCUGAUAGGAUAUGAACAUGAAUGUUGAUUUGUGAAAUGUUAUGCUGAUAGGAUAUGAGCAUGGAUGUUGAUUUGUGAACUGUUUGUGCUGGUUGGAUAGGAUAUGAGCAUGGAUCUUGAUUUGUGAAAUGUUUAUGCUGAUAGGAUAUGAGCGGCUGCAGGCGGAUGCUGGAGUGCUCUAGCGUCUCGUUGCAAGAACCGGAACCAGCACCGCUUUGCUGCCUACUACCAGUGCCCCUCAAGGUGAGGAGGGACCUGAAGCUGCUGCACGGUGUCAAUCUCGCCGAGGUCAUCAACGCCUACCUCUGUGCUUUAAAUCAUUGCCUGCUGCAAGCUGGCCAGCACAAUCCUUGUUCCAAACAGUUUUUUUCGCAGACCCGAUGAUGCCAUGAUGCUUACCUUGCUGGAGCGCAUCAACCUCGACCAUGUUACAUGUAGAGAUGAUUCAUGAUUUAGUCCCUAGAUGAUUUCUAUAUUUGCUAUACCGGUGUCGUUUGGAAGCCUAACUCACCUGCGGCAAAACGGUAGCAGUGCCAUGAAGCAGCUCUGUUUCUUGUUCUCUACUCUGCUUUGAACUGAACUUAUUUCAGUUAGCAACUGUAUACUAAAUUUGAGAGUAUGGGUGCUUGCUUGUGAAUUGUGAUGUUGUUCCCAUCACAUUAGAUUAGGUUAAUUACAUCCAAAAGUAUAGUAGCUUCUGUCCAAGUGCUCUUCAUCUUGUGUGUCAUCUCCAAGGCAAUCAAGUCAAUUAGAUGUUGUUCUAUUCAUGUUCUGCCCAACCUGAAGAAAUAUAGGCUUAUGAUGACUAUUUUCCUUCUGAAGUAAUCAUGGUUGUUGGCUUCGGUAGCUUGCUGAAUAUGCUUUAGUUAUAUAUAGAAAUGAUGUGUUUUCUAUGCUUAAAUGAUUGUUUGGCUCUAUAUAAUUGUUGACAUGAAUAUCUUGACUUCCCAAACAAGUAUAGGACUAUACCUAUGCAUACAGAUUAUCCUAACAAAACUGAAAAUAAAAAUUGAAGCAUGAAAUAAGCAAUAAGUGGCUGAUUUUUAUUUGCAUGUUAAGCGGAAAGUUUUAGCCAGGGCUUAUAUAUUACGAAAUAUUGUCACACCUCUCAGCUUCUAAUAUUGUUAGGGACAUUGUAGUGUGAUCUUCAUGAUUUUUCGCUUGACGAUGUACUGAUUCAUUAGUCAAGCAUAGACCGAAGUCAUCUUUUGCUACUGCUAGCUCUAUGCAUGUUUAUUUACCUGCAACUUCUGCCAGCUCUAACUUGAUUAUAUAACAGUUCAAUUCAAUCAAUCUGUUCGAACUAGUUUGUCUAUUACUUGUACCCAGAUUUUAUAUCCUGCCCUGCCAUUGUCGACUUGCUUAGGUACAUAAUUGUUAUGUCUUGCAAUCUGGUAUUGAUGAUUGUCAAUGUAUUCAUUUAUACCUUUCUAGUGUACCUUGUAUGUGACCCAACUGAUAUGUAUAUCAAUGCUCUGUUUCUAAUAGAUGUAUGUUGAUGCCUGAUGGCUGAUUCCUUAAAACUUCACUGUUGCAGUAGCAUUUUUCCUUAGUGCAUAGAUGUAUGAGCGAUCACUUAUGCUUCAAACCUUGCUCUCUUUCCCAGGAACCAUCGUGGUCUGCGUCACUACUGGGGCAGGAGAGGAAAGACUGUUGGUGUCUCCAGGAAGCGAUAAACUGCUUCACAAAGAUCCCCGCAUAGCUUCACUACUACCUUGGAGCUCCACAUCCGAGUUUCAGCCAUCCUCUACAGCCAGGAGCAAGCAGCGCUACUAGUUCCUUGAGGCCAGAUCGAGUAAGAUGGCGCACCAUGGCGUGUGGUGGCAUAUUUUGCUUCCGAGAACAGUACUAUUUAUUUGAAGUGAGAUGUACUCGUCUAGUGCCUGACAAAAAAAUGAAGGAUGAAGUGUAAUGUACUGUCUAUGUUGUAGUGAGCUGUAGUAGGAGUGAAAUGAAAAUGUAUCUGCUGUUGUAUGUGCUAUUUCCCUGUGAUGUAUGGUGUACAUUUUACUUGAACAUUAAAUUCUCCAGAAAAAAUGUUCUUACUA